rnacentral:rRNA from 1 species
AUGGGGGGACCAUCCUCCAAGGCUAAAUACUCCUGAUUGACCGAUAGUGAACCAGUACCGUGAGGGAAAGGCGAAAAGAACCCCGGCGAGGGGAGUGAAAAAGAACCUGAAACCGUGUACGUACAAGCAGUAGGAGCCCCAUCACUCAAGUGCCUCGCACUGAGUGAUGCAAUAACAUCACCGAAAAUAGCGUAGCAUUUGCUAACAAGGUUGGUCGAUUUUUUCAAGCCGUCGCGCAGUGUACCUAGAAGUACACGAGCAACGGAAGUUAAAAAAUCGGGCAAGAUUGAACGCAAAGGCAAGCGGGACAUUUGAGGAUGGGGUGACUGCGUACCUUUUGUAUAAUGGGUCAGCGACUUAUAUUCUGUAGCAAGGUUAACCGUAUAGGGGAGCCGUAGGGAAACCGAGUCUUAACUGGGCGAAUGAGUUGCAGGGUAUAGACCCGAAACCCGGUGAUCUAUCCAUGGGCAGGUUGAAGGUUGGGUAACACUAACUGGAGGACCGAACCGACUAAUGUUGAAAAA